GAGAGAGUGCAUGUAGCACCUCAGUACUACACGGUCGUUGUUUGUUUCUUGGUUUGUUUUAAGUUUCACCAAAAUAAAGAUGUGGAACUCCAAUCACGCUGCGCCUUGGUCCGUCUCUCCACACGAUCGUGACAGCGCAGUUGAGAAUGUUUACAUGUCCUUGCCGGUUUUGACCGUUCUGACUGCCCUGAUCCCGAACCUGCCUGCCAUUCUAUAUCUUGCCCCACCUCACUGGAUUAUUGACCCCUGCCUGCACUGAGACUGCCUGCCGUUCUGGACCUUUCACACCCUCUGGAUUACUGACCUCUGCCUGCAUUUGACCUGUUUGCCUGCCCCUGUACUAGAAAUACACUGUUGUUACUUCGACAUUGUGCAUUCGGGUCAUACCUGAAACCUGAUAAUCACAAGACUUUGGCUAAAUUUCACAUUUUGAAUAUUGAAUACUCCAGCCAAUGACAUGAGAUGUUCUAAAACUACAAUUCAGAUCAAACAAACCGUCGCUUUGUGUCUCAUCUCUACUAAUGCUCUCAGGUGUAAGGACAUUUCAUUUGAUGACUUUGGGUCUUUCGAGCAUCAUGUUAUACGGUUUAAAUGUCAGCCACCAGUGCUGUCCAUGACCAAAACCUGUGAUCAAGUUAGAAGGCUCUGCCCCACCUUUUAACUGAUUUAUCUGAACUAGUGUCUAUUGUCCUUCAGAACUAUGAUAUAAUCAUUGUGUUGGGAUAUUUGAAUAUUUAUGUUGACAAAGAACAUGACUCCAAGGCCAUUGAGUUUGAUGAACCUUUUGAGCUCUAUGGACUUUAUCCAACAUGUUACUGAGCCCACCCAUAACCGUGGCCUUUACGCUGGACCAAGGUGCUAUCUUUUGAGAUAUCCUCUAUUGUUAAUGUUGCUUUAUCUUGAUUACCACUGUAUAUGUUUUACUACCGUGUUGCCCAUAGCACAGGGUAAUAAUGAACGCUUUAUUAAGAAACGCUAUCUUACCUCUGAAGUUGCUACAGAUUUUAUUGACUAUGACGAUAUUCUGCUAUUCUGCCUUCCUCUUGUGAUGAUUUAGUUUAUAACUUCAAUAGCAAAUUAAGGGCAUCCAUAGCUCCAGUAAAGGUGAAAAAGCCCACAUCCAAAUGGAGAGCCCCUUGAAUGAGUGAGGAAACUAAUCAAUUAAAGACAAAUGGCAGAAAAACUGAGCGGAAGUGGAGAAAGUAAAAGUGGAAGGUCGAUUAUCAUUCUGAGAGAGCAACUUGGCAUAUAUAACAAGGCAAUUAGAAGUGCCAGACAGGCAAAUUUUUCUAACUUGAUCAUAAAUAUUCAGAAUAAUUUGAUGGCCUGAUAAGUCGUACCCCCACAAACCAUUGUGAACUUUCCUCUACAUCUAAAUGUGAUGAGUUUGCGGCAUAUUUCAGAGAUAAGAUAAUCAACAUUAGGCUGUGUAUCAGUCAAGCAAGACCUGAUGAUAAGUUUGAUGAUAUGUGCCCUAGCCUGUCAUGCAAAGCCACUGUGGAUUUGUUUUCCCUGGUUGACACAGACAUACUCGGGAAAGUGAUAUCACAACUUAAGCCUGCUACCUGCUUUCUUGAUCUUACCCCACCACCUUCUUCAAAACAGUUUUUAAUUGCACAUCUGAAGAAGUGCACGCUAUUUUAAUAACUCCCCACUGCACUAAAAACUGCUAUGGUGAAACCCCUUCUGAAGAAAAGUAAUCUAUAUUAUUCAGCUUUGGGCAAUUGUCGGGCCAAUCUCCAACCUUCCAUUCUUAAGCAAAAAUCUGGAGAAUUUGGUGUGCAAACAGCUGAAUGUGCCAACUUAUUGAAAAAUUCCAAUCUGGUUUCCGUUCCCACCACAGCACAAAGACAGCCUUGGUUAAAGUAUGAAAUUAUUUUAGAGCCAACAUAGAUGCCAAACAGCUCUCUGUCCUUAUCUUCUUAGAUAUAAGUGCUGCAUUCAACACUACUGACCAUGAUGUCCUUUUGGUCAGACCGGAGAGGUGGGUUGGCCUCUGAUGUCCAGUUCUAAAUUCGUUUAGGACCUAUUUAACCUGUGAAGUUUUUUGUCACCCUUGUCAGUUGGCUUCCACAAGGUUCGAUUUUGGGUCUGGUACUGUUUUGGGUCCAGUACUGCAGCGUUAUCAGAAAGCACAGCAUUGAUUUUCACUGCUAAGCAGACAACUUUACAUUUCUGUGUCACAAGGGGAUUUUAAGCUCCACUAAUCAAUUAUUUAACUGUAUUAGUCAUUUAAAUACUUGGAUGGCUCAUAACUUCCUUCAGCUAAAUCAAGA
ensembl:lncRNA